CUACGGGUGGCAGCAGUAAGGAAUAUUGCGCAAUGGAGGCAACUCUGACGCAGCCAUGCCGCGUGCAGGAAGAAGGCCUUAUGGGUCGUAAACUGCUUUUAUUUAGGAAUAAACCCCCGAACGUGUUCGGGGCUGAAGGUACUAAACGAAUAAGCACCGGCUAACUCCGUGCCAGCAGCCGCGGUAAUACGGAGGGUGCAAGCGUUAUCCGGAUUUAUUGGGUUUAAAGGGUGCGCAGGCGGGCUAUUAAGUCAGUGGUGAAAUCCCGGGGCUCAACUCCGGAACUGCCAUUGAUACUGAUAGUCUUGAGUUUGGUUGAAGUGGGCGGAAUGUAGCAUGUAGCGGUGAAAUGCAUAGAUAUGCUACAGAACACCAAUCGCGAGGGCAGCUCACUAAGCCAAAACUGACGCUCAUGCACGAAAGCGUGGGGAUCAAAUAGGAUUAGAUACCCCCGUAGUC
rnacentral:rRNA from 1 species